rnacentral:rRNA from 1 species
CCUACGGGUGGCAGCAGUGAGGAAUAUUGGUCAAUGGGAGAGAUCCUGAACCAGCCAAGCCGCGUGAGGGAAGACGGCCCUAUGGGUUGUAAACCUCUUUUGUCGGGGAACAAAACCCGGGACGUGUCCCGGACUGCGUGUAUCCGAAGAAAACGCAUCGGCUAACUCCGUGCCAGCAGCCGCGGUAAUAGGGAGGAUGCGAGCGUUAUCCGGUUUUAUGGGGUUUAAAGGGUGCGUAGGCGGUCCGUUAAGUCAGCGGUAAAAUUGCGGGGCUCAACCCCGUCGAGCCGUUGAAACUGGCAGACUUGAGUGGGCGAGAAGUAUGCGGAAUGCGUGGUGUAGCGGUGAAAUGCAUAGAUAUCACGAAGAACGCCGAUGGCGAAGGCAGCAUACCGGCGCUCAACUGACGCUGAGGCACGAAAGUGUGGGUAGCGAACAGGAUUAGAUACCCGAGUAGUC